AACAGAAGCACUUUGUUGGGCAGCUGUAGUCUCGCUCUUCAGCUGGACAAGGGAUCAGACUGUUAUCAACAACAGGCUGUACCGGAGACUCGCUCACUGCUUCCCUCUGCUGACACUUGUUGCUAUUAAUACUCCUCUUCUGGCAUAAAGGAUGUUUAUGGAAAAACAAACCAGGUCUUGACUGAAUCAAAAUGUGUCUGAAGAGUUACCAAGGUGUCUGAACAUCCCUCUCCUGGUCUUCGCUUACCUUCACUGUUGAUUGAUCUAUUACAGCAACGCCUUGUGCAUGGCUGGGCUCCAGGCAUUUUCUGGAAAACACAGUGAAGGAGUACCAAUCUCAUUGAAACAAGCUUCAAUUUUUCCAUUGAGUGUCAAUGAGUAGAAUUUUACCCCAUGUAGGCCAAAGGACCAUAAGCUGCUCUGGUCUCACCUGGGCAAACAUCAGCCAAGUGGGUCAUCUGGUCUUUAUCUACCCUUGAUCAUGCGAAGAAAAGACCGUGCACAUAUAGAGAGGAUGGAGCACACUGUCUGGAUAGUCACACCUCCAAAGCUCUUCUGGCCGUGAACAACAGCUGGUGUCCUAUCUGGCAUAGCAGGUCAAAACCAAGUCUGAACUUCACCUGGGAGAAAACUGGAACCUAAUGCAGCGUUUUGCAGAGCAGGCAUUGCCUCAUACCAUGCAGCCAGCUCUCCCGAGUGAGCAGGAACACUGAAGAGAGAAACAGUCUGUGGCCCAAAAAGCUUACAAGCCAAGGAUAAGACGAGGGAUAGCAGAUGAAUGUGAUGGAGGUGUCAAAGUUGUUUCAGCAGUGGGACUAAUACAUAAAUGCACUAUUUUUCUUAAGAAAAAAAAGUUAAGAGAAGAAAGGAAAGGGAAGGAUUGAACGCAGUAUGGCGUCUGGCCCCAAAUGAGAGCUUGUUAUGGGUGUCUGGAAAAGAUGCAAAGGAAAUGAAGAGCUGGAUUUUUCACAAAGCUGCUACAGAUCCCAGUACUGGCCUCUCUCUCACCCGCUGGCUCACAAAUAGGCAUCUAUCUCCCUGUUUUGUCUCUGGUAAGAGUCAAGAGCUCUCAGCUUCCUCUUUCACUCUGCUGUACUUUUUAUUGACAGUUAAACAGCUCCUGGGACCCUGGUCCUAUGGUGGUCUUCGGCUGAGAAGACUACAGAGAUGUUCUGCGGCUUUCUCUUCCUUUUUAAGUAUUUUAUAUAAAACUGAACUAUCUAAACAGAGGGAUCGUGUAAGCCCAGUUCCAGGCUGGGCUCUCAUCCUGUGAUGAAACCACUUGGCAGGGAGGUGGGAAGGAGUUUCACCAUGCUCAGCACCUGGGCAGUGUGUCCACUUCUGGCACUGCAGCAUAUCAGGCCAGAUCUGCAGUAAGACACCACAACAUUUUGUGGAUGCUUCUGAUAGCAGAAAAACCAUGAAGACUCUCACUUAAUACCUGAGUGAUAGACCCUCCUAAAGUAAACUGAUCCUGAGAUGGAAACAAAAAUAAAAUACAUAUAUAUAUACACACACACACACAUAUACAGGAGAAUAUUUACUCUUGAGGCAAGGCUCUGAGGGCCUUUGUAUUGAAAAUAAGCAGCUUGUUUGAUGCGAUACUGAAGUGGGAACCAACAGAAGGAUUCAAAGACCUGACUGAAGGUCUUCUGUUGAAACCGUUGCCUCCUAGGAGCAGAAGAUCAGAGAUGGGCUGUGAGGUUUUGUUCUGUUGUAAGUUUGGGACAACAGUGUUAUUUGUAAUGGGUUGAAAUCAGACAUCCAAGUCAUCGAAAAUAAGUUUUCAUACAUCCUAUAUACUACUGCACAGCAUUUCUGCUAUGUUCGUGAUGCAUGCUUUGUAGAAAAAAGUAUUUUGUGUAAGCUUCAGAAAGCAAUCUUCUCGACUGCUGCCCUUUUCCUUCAUCUGUCAGUCAUGUUGCUAACUGCAGGCAGUACGCUCAUUUAGCAUAUUGCAGAGAUGUGUCCCUUCGUUUGGUUUACAAAUUCUUCACUGAGAAAGUGUUUGUUAUUUGGCGUUAUUAAACAGCUGAUUUUGGAGGAGCACAUUUGAGCUCUGGAUUGUUUGCCAGCAGUUUGUAAUAAGCCAAGAAAGAGCAACAACAUAUAAUCAAAUCCAUUAUGACUACAUUAAGAUUACAGUAGAGAAAAGAAAUUAAACAAACAGAAGUAUUGCAAAAGUACAGCUAGGAACAAUGAAGAUAUCUGAACAAUGUUGUAAACACUUAUUACUGCUUACGUAAGGACCACUUGUCUGUUUACUCUCAAGCCUGGGACUGAACAGACUCUCCUUUUAAGGCUGCCCUCAGAUAAGGUCAACCUCUGUUAAUAUGGAAUCAUAUCAAAUAUAAACUUGUUUGUUUCUUAGCAAUACCGAAA